GACGAACGCUGGCGGCGUGCUUAACACAUGCAAGUCGAACGGAAAGGCCCUGCUUGCGGGGUACUCGCGUGGCGAAAGGGUGAGUAACACGUGGGUGUUAUGCCCUGCACUUCGGGAUAAGCCUGGGAAAAUGGGUCUCUUACAGGAUAGGAGCCAUCUUUAGUGUGGUGGUUGGAAAGUUUUUUCGGUGUAGGAUGAGCCCGCGGCCUAUCUGCUUGUUGGUGGGGUAAUGGCCUACCAAGGCGGCGGCGGGUAGCCGGCCCGAGGGGGUGGACGGCCACCAUGGGACUGAGAUACGGCCCAGACUCCUACGGGAGGGAACAGGUGGGAAUAUUUCACAAUGGGCGGAAGGCUGAUUCAGCGACGCCGCGUGGGGGAUGACGGGCUUCGGGGUGGAAACUCCUUUCGCUAUGGACGAAGCUGUUUGUGACGGUACCGAGUUAAGAAGCACCGGCUAACUACGUG
rnacentral:rRNA from 1 species